rnacentral:rRNA from 1 species
UACAGAGGGUGCGAGCGUUAAUCGGAAUUACUGGGCGUAAAGCGUGCGUAGACGGUUAUUUAAGUCGGGUGUGAAAGCCCCGGGCUCAACCUGGGAAUUGCAUUCGAGACUGAAUAGCUAGGGUACGGUAGAGGGAAGUGGAAUUCCCGGUGUAGCGGUGAAAUGCGUAGAUAUCGGAAGGAACAUCAGUGGCGAAAGCGACUUCCUGGACCAGUACCGACGUUCAGGCACGAAAGCGCGGGGAGCAAACAGG